rnacentral:rRNA from 1 species
UACGUAGGGUGCAAGCGUUGUCCGGAAUUAUUGGGCGUAAAGAGCUCGUAGGCGGUCUGUUGCGUCGGCUGUGAAAACCCGGGGCUCAACUCCGGGCCUGCAGCCGAUACGGGCAGACUAGAGUUCGGCAGGGGAGACUGGAAUUCCUGGUGUAGCGGUGAAAUGCGCAGAUAUCAGGAGGAACACCGGUGGCGAAGGCAGUACUCUGGGCUAACACUGACGCUGAGGUGCGAAAGCGUGGGGAGCGAACAGG